rnacentral:rRNA from 1 species
CCUACGGGAGGCAGCAGUGGGGAAUCUUGCGCAAUGGGCGAAAGCCUGACGCAGCCAUGCCGCGUGAAUGAUGAAGGUCUUAGGAUUGUAAAAUUCUUUCACCGGGGACGAUAAUGACGGUACCCGGAGAAGAAGCCCCGGCUAACUUCGUGCCAGCAGCCGCGGUAAUACGAAGGGGGCUAGCGUUGCUCGGAAUUACUGGGCGUAAAGGGAGCGUAGGCGGAUAGUUUAGUCAGAGGUGAAAGCCCAGGGCUCAACCUUGGAAUUGCCUUUGAUACUGGCUAUCUUGAGUACGGAAGAGGUAUGUGGAACUCCGAGUGUAGAGGUGAAAUUCGUAGAUAUUCGGAAGAACACCAGUGGCGAAGGCGACAUACUGGUCCGUUACUGACGCUGAGGCUCGAAAGCGUGGGGAGCAAACAGGAUUAGAUACCCUGGUAGUCCACGCUGUAAACGAUGAGUGCUAGUUGUCGGCAUGCAUGCAUGUCGGUGACGCAGCUACGACAUAAGACACUCCGCCGUGGGGUAGGUACGGUCGGCGAGAAGUUAAACUACUUAAUUAGUAAGUUAGUUACGGCGUUGAGACGUGCCGACGGACGACGACGAGGGAGGUUAGG